CCGCCCGGCCGGGCUUCGGAAUCUGAAGUAGGGCAGCGCCGCAGGAAAGGGGCAAGGCUGGGUCCGCGUGCUCAGUAGCCUCGCGGCGCUGCUGUGUGCGCAGCCCAGGCAGUGGUGCCUGCCCAGGGCAAGGGGGGGCCGCACAUGUGCAGCUGGCGCGAUGCGCCCUGGGCGGCAGCGUUACCGCUGGGGCCUUUCUUCUCUAGCAGAAAAGGUGGGUUUUAAUGUGGCGGACAAGACGUGGUGAAGGCCCCUGUGGACCAGGCGGGGGUAGUUUAACACGCAUGAGCCGGAACGACCAGUGCCUUGUCUGCAUGCGGAUUGUACUGGUUGUUGCCACUUCUAUGUGAGCUGACACGUGCUAAAACCCAUCUUUUUUCCUAGUGGGGGCAAACCUUUACUCGUUAACAGUGCUCCUAGCUCAGCUGCAACAGGCCCUACUUCACUCUCUGCAGUGAAUCCCCAAUAGAUGACAAGGCGUGAUAAUUUGUUUUCGUUGCAUUCAGUGUUGUGACCUGACUAGGAGCCCGGUGUGCACGAAGUAGCAGCAUGGUCACAUAGAGGUAGGGAAUCUAUUCCAGACAUCUCCCACCCUCCAACAGGGGUUGGGAACCAGGAGUUGUUGGCAGAAAAGAAAUGAAGAAAAAACAGGAGAGAGAAAAAAUAAAGGGGGAAAGAACGAAAUGAAGGGCAGAAGUAAUAGUGGCCUCCGAGGUGAACAUAUUUGCUCCACUGAAUGAUGCUGAAUGUAAUAAUUAGGACAUCAGAAGCAGGAAGCCUGCCAAACAGUCAGUGGGGGCACUAGGUGAUUGAGGUGCUAAUGGAGUGCUCAAGAUGAGUUUUUUUCAGAGAAGCUACAUUAAUUCUUUGCAUCAGUCUUCACUGCAGAGGAUAUGAGGGAGAGUCAGACAUCGGAGCCAUUCUUUCUGGAGACAAAUCUGAAGAACUGUUCCAGAUUGAAAUUGAUUAAACUAACAGUAAUAAGGCACCGGGACCAGAUGGUUUUCACCCAAGAAUUCUGAAGGAACUCAUACAUUAAAUUAUAGAACUACUAAUUGUGUGAUUCAGGCCUUUGUAACCUCAAGCAUUCAUUUACCCUAGAGUUCUACUUUGGCCUACUUUUGAAGAGCAUGUCAGCCGGCACAAUGCAACAGCCUAAAUUUGAGAUGUAAGUCUAUAAGACUGAUGUUCCAUACUCUACGUUGUCUAACUGUUUGCUUCUAGAAGCAGUUCAUGGUGUUGGUUGUGGUCUAUAAGCCCUCAAAUACAGAGAUUGCCUCCAGCAAUGUUCUGCUGUGACCUGCUGGUACAUUUCUGUUGUUGGUUCCUGGGAUAGUCUGGUGGACUUCACAUGGGUGUAGGGGGUUGCACUAGUGGAAUCUGAGCAAGAGAGGGGCCAUAAGCAAUGGUAGUAACCCAUCUAGAUUUCUGGUGACCGUGCACACUGGUGUCAUUCUGACUUCACUGGGUAGUUAGAUCACAUUGCAACUAUCCACUCAAUGGUAUUAGAGAUUAAAAGUCACAGCUGCCUUUUAAAACUGGGAGAACUUCAUAUUCUUUCUAAAUUCUAGAUCCAGUAAUUUCUUGAGGUUGUGCUUAAUGAAGUCUAGUGGGUCGAACCAAACAGAGCAUUCUAAGACUACACAAAAUAAUUUGA